AUGGCGCCGAGCGCAAGCCCUAGCCCGGGCCUAGCGGUUACGGCGCCGGUCCACCAGGCCCGCGUGCGGGUGCUCCACCCGGGGCAGGGCCUGCCCCCCGCUGGCGCGAAGCCCGGCCCGGUGGUCUACUGGAUGCUGCGGGACCAGCGGCUAGCCGACAACUGGGCGCUCCUCCACGCGGCGAGCCUCGCCGCCGCUUCCGCGGCGCCGCUCGCCGUCGCGUUCUCCCUGUUCCCGAAGCCGUUCCUCCUCUCCGCGCGCCGCCGCCAACUCGGAUUCCUCCUCCGUGGCCUCCGCCGGCUCGCCGCCGACGCCGCCACCCGCCGCAUCCCCUUCUUCCUCCUUACCGGUGGGCCCAUGGAGAUACCAGCGCUGGUGCAGCGGCUCGGGGCGUCGGCGCUGGUUGCCGACUUCUCACCGCUCCGGCCGGUUCGCGAGGCACUGGACGCAGUAGUCGGCGCGCUGUGCCGCGAUGCUGCCAGUGUGGCCGUUCACCAGGUGGACGCCCACAACGUGGUGCCGGUAUGGGCGGCAUCGGGGAAGCUGGAGUACUCUGCCAAGACCUUCAGAAGCAAGAUGAACAAGGUGUUGGACGAGUACCUGGUCGACUUCCCCGAGUUUGCAGAGGUGGUGCCAUGGGACAGGGACCAACCAAAGGACAUUGAUUGGGAUACGCUAAUUGACACGGUUUGCAGCCAGGCAGAGGACGUGCCAGAGAUUGACUGGUGUGAGCCAGGCGAGGCGGCAGCAAUGGAGGCACUUCUGGGUACCAAGGAUGGGUUCCUAACGGAGAGGAUCAAGAGCUAUGAUUCGGACCGGAAUUAUCCCACAAAGCCAACGGCAUUGUCCGGCCUCUCUCCCUACCUGCAUUUUGGGCAUAUUUCAGCACAAAGAUGUGCUCUCGAGGCAAAAAAACGUCGCCAUCUUAGUCCCAAGUCAGUGGAUGCUUUCUUGGAGGAGCUGAUAAUAAGGAGAGAGCUAGCCGACAACUUCUGCUACUAUCAGCCUCACUAUGAUUCGGUAGCCGGGGCUUGGGAGUGGGCGAGGAAGACACUGAAGGAUCAUGCUGCCGACAAAAGAGAGCACAUUUACACGAGGGAGCAGCUUGAGAAUGCAAAAACAGCUGAUCCUCUCUGGAAUGCAUCACAGUUGGAGAUGGUCCACCAUGGAAAAAUGCAUGGAUUCAUGCGAAUGUAUUGGGCCAAAAAAAUUCUAGAAUGGACCAGUGGACCUGAAGAAGCACUUUCAAUAGCAAUAUAUUUGAAUGACAAGUAUCACAUAGACGGCAGGGACCCCAAUGGCUAUGUUGGUUGCAUGUGGUCUAUCUGUGGCCUCCAUGAUCAGGGUUGGAAGGAGCGUCUGGUAUUUGGAAAGAUACGUUACAUGAAUUAUGCUGGUUGCAAGAGAAAAUUCAACGUCGAUGCCUACAUUUCUUACGUCAAAAGAUUGGUUGCUCAACCCAAGAAAAGGAAACCGGAGGAAUCUCUGAAUUCAGCAGCCAAGUACUCGAAGUCUGAGAAGGACUAG
rnacentral:rRNA from 1 species